AGGCUUUAUUUCACACUAAAACAAAACUCAAGUCCUAUUUCCAACCUUCGUCCUCCAAUGAUGAUCUUCUUCUCUUCAAUCGUUUCUUCCAGAAGACACACAUCUCCAGCAAGCCAAUCACACUUUAAGUUUGCAAGUGCUUGCAAAACACCAACACUUUUUAUCAAGAAAGAAAAAUAAGGUCUUUUUUAUUAUUUUGUGCAUAAUUAAAACAUUCGAACGCAUGGUACGUAGUGUCGAAUUUGGUAGUUCUUCAUAUGUUACUGAACAUAACCACCAAAUCAACAAAAAUAAUCAUUUUCAUAUCAAGGUAUGAAAGAAAUUAAAAAUACACUUCCAUCUGAUUCCAUCUGAUAUAGAUAUACUUGAAGAUAAAAAUGAUCAUGCUACGUAUUACAAAGAGAAGUUAGAUAUGUAGGAUAGUACGUGACCCGUCCUCUUAAGAUAGCCACUAACCUCUCCUCUCUACACUCCUCUACAACUGUUACCUCGCUAUGCACAAAUUUCUUUCAGGUCUGCAGACUUCACUGCAAAGACACUUGCAAAGAAACCAAAUGGAAAGAAACAAAAGUAAAAAGAAAGGAACAAACUGAUUGUUGCAUUCAAACCAUGUAAAAUAGAUUACGCAAACAAAUAAACUCAAGUAAAUCUAAACUUAUGGGUUUAAGAAAAAAAUGCCAUUGUCAAGCACAAAUUGGUCUCGACAAUUUGCUGCUUCAUUUCUGUAAGCUUCUUGUGAUUGUUACCUACAAUACCAACAUUCACAAAGGAAAAAUUAAAUUAGUUACGGAAAAAAAAAAUUAUAUGAAAUCACCGGUGUAAAAUUUGUUGAUAUUUCCAUCACCUAAGAUUCCCCUGCUUCAUAAUUUAACAAUCAUUGUAGCAACUGACAAAAAGAUAUUGAGAAAAAAAAGUAGAAAAGAAAAACUGAAUUUAAAUAACACAGAGAGUUUUAAAGUUCAAAACAGGUCCUUGAAAAUUUAGUGAAGAAAACUUACCAGGGGCAGAGAAAUAUUCCGAAGAGACUGGAUAGAACAUUGAUAGGAUUAACAUACCACACACCAUUGUAGCAGAUGCAAAUUAAAUUAUGGGAAACCGGGGAGAGACAAAUUAUGAUGUUUUUUGUUUGUUUUAAGAAACCGAAGCGGUUGAGCUUUGGAAAAACGUGGGAGUGUAGUUGAAAGGGGGUAGAAUUCGUUUUUGUUUUUGGAAAAGGGAAAGGAAGAUAAAGUGGAAGAGAUGGACAUGGAAAGGAGAUGGAGCAAAAAGUGGAUUUGUCAAAAAAAUUUGAAAUUUCAACAAAAGAUGUCUAAAAUUUUGCAAAAUUUUGGUGUCCCGCCUCCUCCAAAUAUGUGAAUUUAUGAUUCUAUCACACAUUAUGAAUGUGGUAGAUAAUAAAAAGACAUUGUGGAUACUAACAAUAUUGACCACGAGCAUUGUCCGUAGUUACUUAGAAUAUUUAUAACGUGCAACUUUACGCGUGAUUAUUAACUACUAUUUUAUAACGGGUUAAGAUUUAUCCGUGGUAAAAAAUUAUUAUUCAUCACGCACUUACUAUGCCUGUGGUAAAUUUAUACUUUUUACAACGAGCUGAUAAAGCCCGUGGUAGAAUUCUCGUGGUAGAUGAACUGUUGUCUUGUAACCACUAAAUCAUAAUGUUAAAUAGUCAACGAAUUAACAUUUUGAAUUUCAAACAUUGGCUUGGAGUUUAUUGAAUUAUAAGUCUUAAUUAAAUACCUUUAUUAUCGACAACGGUACCACUGUGUACAUCAAAACUAAGGACGACCAAAUGGUUGUUAAUUUACUAGAAUUAUUUAUAGAAACCAUUUUUCGUACUCGUCCAUGUAUAUUUAAAUGCCAAGAAAUUGGGCCUCCA
rnacentral:lncRNA from 1 species